rnacentral:rRNA from 1 species
GACGAACGCUGGCGGCGUGCUUAACACAUGCAAGUCGAACGGAAAGGCCCUGCUUUUGUGGGGUGCUCGAGUGGCGAACGGGUGAGUAACACGUGAGCAACCUGCCCUUGACUUUGGGAUAACUUCAGGAAACUGGGGCUAAUACCGGAUAGGAGCUCCUGCUGCAUGGUGGGGGUUGGAAAGUUUCGGCGGUUGGGGAUGGACUCGCGGCUUAUCAGCUUGUUGGUGGGGUAGUGGCUUACCAAGGCUUUGACGGGUAGCCGGCCUGAGAGGGUGACCGGUCACAUUGGGACUGAGAUACGGCCCAGACUCCUACGGGAGGCAGCAGUGGGGAAUAUUGCACAAUGGGCGGAAGCCUGAUGCAGCAACGCCGCGUGCGGGAUGACGGCCUUCGGGUUGUAAACCGCUUUCGCCUGUGACGAAGCGUGAGUGACGGUAAUGGGUAAAGAAGCACCGGCUAACUACGUG